GGGGAUGCGAGCGUUAUCCGGAUUUAUUGGGUUUAAAGGGUGCGUAGGCGGUCUGGUAAGUCAGCCGUGAAAAGUCCCCGCUCAACGGGGGCCGUGCGGUUGAAACUGCUGGACUGGAAUGCGGAUGCCGUGGGAGGAAUGUGUGGUGUAGCGGUGAAAUGCAUAGAUAUCACACAGAACACCGAUUGCGAAGGCAUCUCACGAAUCCGCAAUUCACGCUGAGGCACGAAAGCGCGGGUAUCGAA
rnacentral:rRNA from 1 species